rnacentral:rRNA from 1 species
AGCGGCGGACGGGUGAGUAAUGCUUAGGAAUUUGCCCAGUCGAGGGGGACAACAGUUGGAAACGACUGCUAAUACCGCAUACGCCCUACGGGGGAAAGCAGGGGCUCUUCGGACCUUGCGCGAUUGGAUAAGCCUAAGUGAGAUUAGCUUGUUGGUGAGGUAAUGGCUCACCAAGGCGACGAUCUCUAGCUGGUUUGAGAGGAUGAUCAGCCACACUGGGACUGAGACACGGCCCAGACUCCUACGGGAGGCAGCAGUGGGGAAUAUUGCACAAUGGGCGAAAGCCUGAUGCAGCCAUGCCGCGUGUGUGAAGAAGGCCUUCGGGUUGUAAAGCACUUUCAGCGAGGAGGAAAGGUUGACGGUUAAUACCCGUCAGCUGUGACGUUACUCGCAGAAGAAGCACCGGCUAACUCCGUGCCAGCAGCCGCGGUAAUACGGAGGGUGCGAGCGUUAAUCGGAAUUACUGGGCGUAAAGCGCAUGCAGGCGGCCAAGUCAGUCAGAUGUGAAAGCCCCGGGCUUAACCUGGGAAUUGCAUUUGAAACUGCUUGG